rnacentral:tRNA from 1 species
GGGAGGGUAGCUCAGUCAGGCAGAGCGUUCCCCUUACACGGGAAAGGUCGGGGUGUUCAAAUCCCCCCCCCUCCUA